rnacentral:tmRNA from 1 species
GGGGAUGAUCGGCCUAGACAAGAGGGCCGCCGGUCUGAUGCGCGGGAGAGCCGAAGCGACUCUCUAAUCCGCCUCACAACCAACUGCAAACUCAACCUUUGCAAAAAUCGUCUCGCCGUACUUUACGGCUAGCGAUUUCCAGUUCGCCUACGCUCGAGCGUAAGUUCGCGUAACGAAUCGGCACAGUUCCGCAAGAUGUCUUGGGUAGCGGACGCUGUGUAAUCACAUGAGACUCUGGAACGGGAGCUCCUCGGCCCGUUCUUAAAUUAAGAGGAUAGAGAUCUGAGAGCUUUCGUUUGUUUUGUAUCUCAGAUCUCGAAUCAAACGAAGCAACCUACCCCGCGUAGACUUCAUUCCGGCUCCUUCUUGCACGGCGGUUCGAUUCCGCCCAUCUCCACCA